rnacentral:rRNA from 1 species
UGGAAUGAGGACUUCGGUCCGAGUGAAGUCGAGGAAAGCGGCGGACGGGUGAGUAACGCGUGGGUAACCUGCCCCAUACAAUGGGAUAGCCACUGGAAACGGUGAUUAAUACCAUAUAAUGCUUUAGAAUCGCAUGAUUCAGAAGCUAAAGAUUUAUCGGUAUGGGAUGGACCCGCGUCUGAUUAGCUAGUUGGUGAGGUAACGGCUCACCAAGGCGACGAUCAGUAGCCGACCUGAGAGGGUGAUCGGCCACACUGGAACUGAGACACGGUCCAGACUCCUACGGGAGGCAGCAGUGGGGAAUAUUGCACAAUGGGCGCAAGCCUGAUGCAGCAACGCCGUGUGAGUGAUGAAGGCCUUCGGGUCGUAAAACUCUGUCCUAUGGGAAGAAAACAAUGACGGUACCAUAGGAGGAAGCCCCGGCUAAC